UACGUAGGGGGCAAGCGUUAUCCGGAUUUACUGGGUGUAAAGGGAGCGUAGACGGCCACGCAAGUCUGAAGUGAAAGCCCGCGGCUCAACCGCGGAACCGCUUUGGAAACUGUAUGGCUGGAGUGCUGGAGAGGUAAGCGGAAUUCCUGGUGUAGCGGUGAAACGCGUAGAUAUCAGGAGGAACACCGGUGGCGAAGGCGGCUUACUGGACAGUAACUGACGCUGAGGCGCGAAAGCGUGGGGAGCAA
rnacentral:rRNA from 1 species